rnacentral:rRNA from 1 species
GAUGAACGCUGGCGGCGUGCCUAAUACAUGCAAGUCGAACGAACAGACGAAAAGUUGGUUGGUCAGACGAUAGCGGCGGAGGGGAGAGAAACACGGGGGUAACGCACCGAUAAGACGGGGAUAACUGCGGGAAACCGGAGAUAAUAGGGGAGAAUAUAUUGAAGGGCAUGGUGCAGGAGUGAAAGACGGUGUGGCUGGAGCUUAUGGACGGAUCCUCGCCGCAUUAGCUAGUGGGUAAGGUAACGGCUUACGAAGGCGACGAUGCGUAGCCGACCUGGGAGGGUGAUCGGCCCCACUGGAACUUAGACCCAGUCCAGACUCCUACGGCAGGCCGCAGUAGUGAAUCUUCCACAAUGGGCGAAAGCCUGACGAAGCGACGCCGCGUGAGUGAUGAAGGUCUUCUGGUCGUAGAACGCUUUUGUUUGGGAAGAACAAAUGUGUAAGUAACUAUCCACGUCUUGACGGUACCUAAUCAAAAAGCCCCGGCUAACUACGUG